UAGGACCCUCCGAGCCAGGUGCCGGAUAUAAUCUUGUGGUGCGCCGUUUUUUAAGCCCGUCGGAAAAGCGCAGUAUUCGGGUGGGAGUGACCUGAUUUUCCAGGUGCCGUCUGUCACCCCUUUGUUUGACUAGGAAAGGGAACUCCCUGACCCCUUGGGCUUCCCAAGUGAGGCAAUGCCUCGCCCUGCUUCGGCUCGUGCACGGUGCGCGCACCCACUGACCUGCGCCCACUGUCUGGCACUCCCUAGUGAGAUGAACCCGGUACCUCAGAUGGAAAUGCAGAAAUCACCCGUCUUCUGCGUGGCUCACACUGGGAGCUGUAGACCUGAGCUGUUCCUAUUCAGCCAUCUUGGCUCCUCUCUAACAGGGUGUGCAACAAUUGGGAAUGCUGAGCAAGGCUUUGCCCCUAUAUCCCUAUGCACUUCUGUUGGAAGAAUGUUCAAGCCUCUUCCCAAGACAGCUCCAGUGUUUGGGGAAAAUAAAGUGCUCUCCCUUGGCCUGGGCCCUUGGAUCCCAAGUGGAAAGGUGAGUCACGGAGGGAGGUGCUCUUCCUCUCUCAUGUACUAGGACUUUACUCAUUUUUGUAGCCAGAUGCCAUCACAAGGGCCGUUUGCUGGCAUUCUCAUUUUUUGGAUCAAUGGUGUCCUUCACAAUUCUGUGAAGGAAAUUUCCAUUUUCCUUCUUGAUUUAAAGUUCACAGAGUUGGUCUUUAUGCACUAUCUUGCUAUUUCCAAG
rnacentral:lncRNA from 1 species